AACGAACGCUGGCGGCAGGCCUAAAACAUGCAAGUCGAACGAACCUUCGGGUUAGUGGCGCACGGGUGAGUAACGCGUGGGAAUGUGCCUCUGGGUGCGGAACAACGUCGGGAAACUGACGCUAAUACCGCAUAAUGUCUACGGACCAAAGAUUUAUCGCCCAGAGAUCAGCCCGCGUCUGAUUAGCUAGUUGGUGAGGUAACGGCUCACCAAGGCUACGAUCAGUAGCUGGUCUGAGAGGAUGAUCAGCCACACUGGAACUGAGACACGGUCCAGACUCCUACGGGAGGCAGCAGUUAGGAAUAUUGGACAAUGGGGGAAACCCUGAUCCAGCCAUGCCGCGUGUGUGAAGAAGGCCUUAGGGUUGUAAAGCACUUUCGGCUGUGAAGAUAAUGACAGUAGCAGAAGAAGAAGCUCCGGCUAAACUUCGUG
rnacentral:rRNA from 1 species